rnacentral:rRNA from 2 species
AAAACUUUCAACAACGGAUCUCUUGGUUCUGGCAUCGAUGAAGAACGCAGCGAAAUGCGAUAAGUAAUGUGAAUUGCAGAAUUCAGUGAACCAUCGAAUCUUUGAACGCACAUUGCGCCCGCCAGUAUUCUGGCGGGCAUGCCUGUCCGAGCGUCAUUU